GGGCCCAUAGCUCAGCGGUAGAGCAGGUGACUCAUAAUCACUUGGUCGGAGGUUCGACCCCUCCUGGGCCCAGCA
rnacentral:tRNA from 1 species